rnacentral:tRNA from 1 species
GGCCCAGUGGCCUAAUGGAUAAGGAAUCAGCCUUCAAAGCUAGGGAUUGUGGGUUUAAGUGCCAUUUGGGUUG